rnacentral:rRNA from 1 species
UACGGGGGGGGCAAGCGUUGUUCGGAAUUACUGGGCGUAAAGGGUUCGUAGGUGGCUUGCUUAGUCAGACGUGAAAUCCCUCGGCUUAACCGGGGAACUGCGUCUGAUACUGGAUGGCUUGGAUUUGGGAGAGGGAUGCGGAAUUCCAGGUGUAGCGGUGAAAUGCGUAGAUAUCUGGAGGAACACCGGUGGCGAAGGCGGCAUCCUGGACCAAUAUUGACGCUGAGGAGCGAAAGCCAGGGGAGCAAACGGG